rnacentral:rRNA from 1 species
CUAUAUGAAGUCGGAAUUGCUAGUAAUCGCGGAUCAGCAUGCCGCGGUGAAUACGUUCCCGGGCCUUGUACACACCGCCCGCCACACCAUGAGAGUCGAUAACACCCGAAGCCUGUAGUCUAACCUUAGGGGGGACGCAGUCGAAGGUGGGAUUGAUAAUUAGGGUGAAGUCGUAACAAGGUACC